CAGAGCGGAGUAAACUCAGACAGUGAGGAAACACAGACCGCAGAAUUACAACCAUGAAGGCUGUGAAUGCAGUGCAACUGUUCUCUCUGUUUUGGACCUUUACUGCUCUCUGUCAAGCUGAUGAAGAUAUCAGUGUAAGCUGUGAGAAAGUGACUGGAUCUGUGGGGAAGGAAGGAAAUCUCCACUGCAGCGUCUCAGUGAAUUGCUCUAAUUGUCC